CCUAAAUCACCUUGAACGUACCUGAUUUCACCUGAUUUGGGAAACAAAAUGGUCAGGUCUUGUUAGUAUUUAGAUGGGAGACCACCAGGUUGUACCAGGAAUCUCCAGGC
ensembl:rRNA 5S_rRNA 5S ribosomal RNA